ACUCCUACGGGAGGCAGCAGUGGGGAAUAUUGGACAAUGGGCGCAAGCCUGAUCCAGCCAUGCCGCGUGAGUGAUGAAGGCCCUAGGGUUGUAAAGCUCUUUCACCGGUGAAGAUAAUGACGGUAACCGGAGAAGAAGCCCCGGCUAACUUCGUGCCAGCAGCCGCGGUAAUACGAAGGGGGCUAGCGUUGUUCGGAUUUACUGGGCGUAAAGCGCACGUAGGCGGACUAUUAAGUCAGGGGUGAAAUCCCGGGGCUCAACCCCGGAACUGCCUUUGAUACUGGUAGUCUUGAGUUCGAGAGAGGUGAGUGGAAUUCCGAGUGUAGAGGUGAAAUUCGUAGAUAUUCGGAGGAACACCAGUGGCGAAGGCGGCUCACUGGCUCGAUACUGACGCUGAGGUGCGAAAGCGUGGGGAGCAAACAGGAUUAGAAACCCCAGUAGUCC
rnacentral:rRNA from 1 species